UACGGAGGGUGCAAGCGUUAAUCGGAAUUACUGGGCGUAAAGCGUGCGCAGGCGGUUUGUUAAGUCUGAUGUGAAAUCCCCGGGCUCAACCUGGGAAUGGCAUUGGAUACUGGCUCGCUAGAGUGCGGUAGAGGGUGGUGGAAUUCCCGGUGUAGCAGUGAAAUGCGUAGAGAUCGGGAGGAACAUCUGUGGCGAAGGCGGCCACCUGGACCAACACUGACACUGAGGCACGAAAGCGUGGGGAGCAAACAGG
rnacentral:rRNA from 1 species